UGACCGGACACAGGACACCAGUUACUGGGGCUAUAUAUCUCAAGAUACAAAGUUAAAAUUCAGCUCCUGUACCACGAGAGAGACAGAGCAUGAACGGGGGAGGGUCAGAGAG